rnacentral:misc_RNA from 1 species
GAAAUGCGAUAAGUAAUGUGAAUUGCAGAAUUCAGUGAAUCAUCGAAUCUUUGAACGCACAUUGCGCCCCUUGGUAUUCCGAGGGGCAUGCCUGUUCGAGCGUCAUUACAACCCUCAAGCACUGCUUGGUGUUGGGCCUCGCCGCUAACCCGGCGGGCUCUAAAAACAGUGGCGGUGCCGUCGGGCUCUGAGCGUAGUAAUUCUUCUCGCUAUAGAGUCCCGGUGGAUGCUGGCCAACAACCCCCAAUUUUCUAUGGUUGACCUCGGAUCAGGUAGGGAUACCCGCUGAACUUAA